GCAGUCGUGGCCGAGUGGUUAAUGCGAUGGUCUGGAAAUCCAUUGGGAUCUUUCCGCGUAGGUUCGAAUCCUAUCGGCUGCG